GACGUAGGGCGCGAGCGUUGUCCGGAUUUAUUGGGCGUAAAGAGCUCGUAGGCGGCUUGCCGCGUCGACUGUGAAAACCCGAGGCUCAACCUCGGGCCUGCAGUGGGUACGGGCAGACUAGAGUGCGGUAGGGGAGAUUGGAAUUCCUGGUGUAGCGGUGAAAUGCGCAGAUAUCAGGAGGAACACCGGUGGCGAAGGCGGUUCUCUGGGCAUGUCCUGACGCUGAGGAGCGAAAGCGUGGGGAGCGAACAGG
rnacentral:rRNA from 1 species